AGCCUGAAACGUUGCAACUGACAUACCACCUAUUCCGGCUGAAAUAACAUGAAAUAAAAUCAUUAUCUUUUCACUACCUAAGGAGUGCUGUCCUAAAUAUUUGUGAGAUUUAUAGUUCUGGAGGUGGAGCUUUAGAACACAACCUGGACGUGCACCCACCCUUGCCAUUUUAUGAAUAGAGUGCUGUGGCCC